rnacentral:lncRNA from 1 species
GCCAGGAAGUGUAUAUCUGUGUGACCAUACAUAUCUGUGUGACCAUACACAUCUGUGUGACCAUGCAUAUCUGUGUGACCAUACAUACCUACAUACUAUCAACUUGCGAGCUGACCAGGAACUAAGUUGAUGCGCCGUUGAUCCGCUAGAUUUGGUUGGAUGCUGGUGGUGAGUUGCCGAACCCAACGAAUACAUUCUGAAGUCGGAUGGGGUGACGGAUUAGGGUGCCCCUCUAGCAGGGGAGAGCAGGGACUGCCCCGGGAAAGGGGGCCGCUGGCGAAGUUAACCACCCUGUAACAACAUACAUACCUAGGCAGGCGGCUGGCAGAGGUUAAGGCCUGACUUCUGCUCCCAGUCGACCCAGUCGACCCGGGUUCAAAUCCGCCUGCCGGCUCCUCGGGUGAUUGAGGAGUGAUGAAAUGGGAGGUGGCCCCCCAUCAUAUGGACGGUGUAGGACGUGAUAAUAUCAACUUGCGAGCUGACCAGGAACUAAGUUGAUGCGCCGUUGAUCCGCUAGAUUUGGUUGGAUGCUGGUGGUGAGUUGCCGAACCCAACGAAUACAUUCUGAAGUCGGAUGGGGUGACGGAUUAGGGUGCCCCUCUAGCAGGGGAGAGCAGGGACUGCCCCGGGAAAGGGGGCCGCUGGCGAAGUUAACCACCCUGUAACAACAUACCUGCUUGCCGAUAGCGCGACGUGACGCGCAAUCUGUGGUGGUGUAAGGGGACUUCAACAAGUAUGAAUGUAAAUGCCUGGCUGAUCAUAAUCACUCGCCUGGCUGAUUCCUUGUGGCUUGUGGCUUUUGGGUGGUGGGUGCUAUCCUUACGCAGCCUUGGCUUGAACGAAAGCACAUGUACGAGAGGGAUGCAGCACAAUGAUUCUGAUGGCAACGUUUCGCUGGCUGCUGGUGCAGCAGCCGCUAGCAUGGCCACGACAACAAUGAACUGGGGGCUGGUCCAGGCAUGUGCAGCGGCGGCAGCACUGGUGGCAAUAAAAUUCACCCCUGUUAGGCCCGGAUGUCGGCACCCACUUGCAUCUCACUGGCCACUAGUCGGUCGCUUCACGUUGCACCUGGCAGCAGUCUGGAUANNNNNNNNNNNNNNNNNNNNNNNNNNNNNNNNNNNNNNNNNNNNNNNNNNUUAUUCGUGCAUGUAUUUGGUUAUGUACGUGUCCUGUUAGGCUCUGGUUUAGGUGGAGGCAACCGUUCCCCUGUCGGCUACAUGUGCUACAUAUUUGUAGUGUUCGUCGCGCUGUGUCUCUCAGAAAAUGCAGAUCCUGCAUGCACGAGUGCCAUCCAUGGUCACAGCCAACAACCAAAACCUCACCGAUCUACUCAACCGAUGCUAGUCGUUGAAUAGCUGCUUUUUGCGGUGAUAGCUAGUGUUUCUAGGGUUUUUAGGGUCCUUGAAACCCUAAACGCCUAGAAAAGGCUACACACGGCUGACUGCAGCAUUUCGUGUAUUACGAGUACGUGUCCAACGGCAGGGACCAGCAACAGGCACAAGCAAGGGAUGAAUAAUUCCAUGCUGCCGCCUUCGUGUUGCUGCUGUGCUGUCCCGGCAUGCAUGUUCUGGCUAGCUACGACCAAAUACCCCAUGUACACAUGCACCAACGUGUACACGUACACACACAUACAUACACGCACACGUACACACCAGGAUGGAUCAUGUUAUGAAAAAGCCAGACCGGAUAUGUCCCGCGCAAGAGCGAUGUGCUGCUCAUGUCGAGUUUUGAUCUCGAGACCUCCCGCUUACUAAACGGGUGCUCUUCCACUGAGCUACACGAGCAGUUGUGGGUGGAGGGUGUCGAACCCUCGACCUUAGGAUAGUCCAAGUCACAGCACGAUAACAGCUAUGAGACCUACGCGCUAACCACUGCGCCACACCCACACAGACAUGCAGCUUCGCGCGUGGCAAGAAUUUGCCGUACACCGUACACCGUACACCGUACACGUACAAAUCGUACAGGACGUGCGUACACACGCACCCCCGACGAUUGGGCCAAAUACGUAUACACCACAUCUACAGCCAACGCAUGCCCGCCUCAUUAGCUCUUUAUUUUUCCCGGGCAUGUGGCCAGGAAGUGUAUAUCUGUGUGACCAUACAUAUCUGUGUGACCAUACACAUCUGUGUGACCAUGCAUAUCUGUGUGACCAUACAUACCUGCUUGCCGAUAGCGCGACGUGACGCGCAAUCUGUGGUGGUGUAAGGGGACUUCAACAAGUAUGAAUGUAAAUGCCUGGCUGAUUAUAAUCACUCGCCUGGCUGAUUCCUUGUGGCUUGUNN